rnacentral:rRNA from 1 species
GAUGAACGCUAGCGGCAGGCCUAAUACAUGCAAGUCGAACGGUGUCUUCGGACAUAGUGGCGCACGGGUGCGUAACACGUAUGCAACCUACCUUACAUUGGGGGAUAGCCUUUCGAAAGGGAGAUUAAUACCGCAUAAGACAGUAGCUGGGCAUCCAGCAGCUGUUAAAGAUUUAUCGAUGUAAGCUGGGCAUGCGUCCAAUUAGCUAGUUGGUGAGGUAACGGCUCACCAAGGCGAUGAUUGGUAGGGGAACUGAGAGGUCAAUCCCCCACACUGGCACUGAGAGACGGGCCAGACUCCUACGGGAGGCAGCAGUAGGGAAUAUUGGGCAAUGGACGCAAGUCUGACCCAGCCAUGCCGCGUGCAGGAUGAAGGCGUUAUGCGUUGUAAACUGCUUUUAUACAGGAAGAAACGACUCUUGCGAGAGGCAUUGACGGUACUGUAUGAAUAAGCACCGGCUAACUCCGUGCCAGCCGCCGCAGUAACAC